UUCUACUCAAUCUUUAAUAUCAUGUUGUAAGAAACAGUUUGAUGUGAUAAUAUUUGAACUGUUUACCGUAAAAAUUACCAUGAAUUGGCAUGAAUGGCCGUUCGCGCAAGAAUGUCACGAUGGUUACCUUUAUUCUAAAACGUAAGCCUUAUCUUCUCCGCUAUUACAUACAGUGUUCAAACUUAUUCCAAGCAUAACCGAAGAAUCAUAAUCGGUCUCUUCGGGCCAUCUCUCGCCGUCGUGUCACCAGUAAAUGUGCAGUUUAUUUGUUCUGAAUCUUUUAGUAUUUUGAGACAAUAAAUAAAAUACUAUCUUGACUACA
rnacentral:lncRNA from 1 species